rnacentral:rRNA from 1 species
GACCGAUAGUGAACUAGUACCGUGAGGGAAAGGUGAAAAGAACCCCGUGAGGGGAGUGAAAUAGAACUGAAACCGUAAACCUACAAACCGUGGGAGCUUGUUUUAUAUGAGUGACCGCGUGCCUAUUGAAGAAUGAGCCAACGAGUUACUUGAUAUGGCAAGAUUAAAUAGUUAAGCUAUGAAGUCGAAGCGAAAGCAAGUCUGAAUAGGGCGAUUUAGUCGUGUCAAGUAGACCCGAAACCGUGUGAGCUACCUAUGGCCAGGUUGAAGCGAGAGUAAAAUCUCGUGAAGGACCGAACCCGUGUACGCUGCAAAGUGCUGGGAUGAGCUGUGGGUAGAGGUAAAAUGCCAAACGAACACGGAGAUAGCUGGUUCUCCCCGAAAUGUAUUUAGGUACAGCGUUAUGUAAAUACUUCAUGGAGGUAGAGCACUGGAUAGACUAGGGGGCGCAAGCUUACCAAACCUAACCAAACUCCGAAUACCAUGAAGGGUAUCAUAGCAGUGAGACUGUGGGGGAUAAGCUCCAUUGUCGAAAGGGAAACAGCCCAGAUCGCAAGUUAAGGUCCCAAAGUAUAUGCUAAGUGUUAAACGAAGUAGGGUCGCCCAGACAGCCAGGAGGUUGGCUUAGAAGCAGCCAUCCUUUAAAGAGUGCGUAAUAGCCCACUGGUCAAGGGGCCCCGCACGGAAAAUAAACGGGGCUAAAGCAUAUCACCGAGACUGCGGGAUUUAAUUUUUUAAAUUAGAUCGGUAGGGGAGUGUCGUUAAAGCGCUGAAGCUGAGCUGUAAGGCUUGGUGGAGUUUUAACAAGUAAGAAUGUUGGCAUGAGUAGCAAAAAUGCCGGUGAGAAUCCGGCAGGCCGUAAGUCUAAGGAUUCCUACGCAACGUUGAUCGGCGUAGGGUUAGUCGGGCCUAAGGCGUAUCCGAAAGGAAAAGUCGAUGGACAGCUGGUAAAUAUUCCAGCACCUUCAAAUUAUUGUUUGAUUCAAAGGGGUGACGCAGAAAGAUAAACAGAGCAUACGUAUUGGACAUCGUGUGUUUCUACCUGUAAGAGAUAUAGAGAGGGUUAAAAUACUUUCUAUGCUUGAUCUGAGGGGUGGGAGAACUAUGAAGUUAGCUUCGUAGAAUUCUGUUGACUCUAGACUGCCAAGAAAAGCCUCGUUGAUUAGAUAUUUUGAAGACCGUACCGCAAACCAACACAGGUAGACAGGGAUAAAAGUCCCAAGGCCUUCGAGAGAACCAUCGUUAAGGAACUCGGCAAAUUGACCCCGUAACUUAGGGAGAAGGGGGACCUUUUAUGUAUAUGAGCUUGCCUCAGAAAGCGUGAAAGGUAGCAUAAAAUAGGUUGAAGCGACUGUUUAUCAAAAACACAGGUCCAUGCCAAAGCGAAAGCUGAUGUAUAUGGGCUGACGCCUGCCCAGUGCCGGUAGGUUAAGGAAGGUGGUGCAAGCUACUGACUGAAGCCCCGGUGAACGGCGGCCGUAACUAUAACGGUCCUAAGGUAGCGAAGUCCCUUGUCGGGUAAGUUCCGACCCGCACGAAUGGCGUAACGACUUCAACACUGUCUCAACGAUGGACUCGGUGAAAUUGCAGGACCGGUAAAGAUGCCGGUUACGCGCAGCAGGACAAAAAGACCCCGUGGAGCUUUACUGCAACUUGGCAUUGGUUCGAGUUUUAAAAUGUGUAGGAUAGGCGGGAGACUAUGAACUUCAGGCGUUAGCCUGGGGGGAGUCGCCCUUGAAAUACCGCCCUUUUUAUGAUUUGAACCUAACCUUUUGGAACAGUGUCUGGUGGGCAGUUUGACUGGGGCGGUCGCCUCCCAAAGAGUAACGGAGGCGUACAAAGGUCACCUCAAGCUGGAUGGAAAUCAGCUUUUGAGUGCAUUGGCAUAAGGUGGCUUGACUGCGAGACUUACAAGUCGAGCAGGGACGAAAGUCGGUCAAAGUGAUCCCACGAUUCCGAGUGGAAGGGUCGUGGCUUAACGGAU